GGAAGCGUGUUGUAGGGGUAAGCGUAGUUGCCUCUCACUCAGUCGGCUUUGGUUCGAUCCCAGACGGUUCCA
rnacentral:tRNA from 1 species